GUUAGUGGCGGACGGGUGAGUAACACGUGGGAACGUGCCUUUAGGUUCGGAAUAACUCAGGGAAACUUGUGCUAAUACCGAAUGUGCCCUUCGGGGGAAAGAUUUAUCGCCUUUAGAGCGGCCCGCGUCUGAUUAGCUAGUUGGUGAGGUAAAGGCUCACCAAGGCGACGAUCAGUAGCUGGUCUGAGAGGAUGAUCAGCCACAUUGGGACUGAGACACGGCCCAAACUCCUACGGGAGGCAGCAGUGGGGAAUCUUGCGCAAUGGGCGAAAGCCUGACGCAGCCAUGCCGCGUGAAUGAUGAAGGUCUUAGGAUUGUAAAAUUCUUUCACCGGGGACGAUAAUGACGGUACCCGGAGAAGAAGCCCCGGCUAACUUCGUGCCAGCAGCCGCGGUAAUACGAAGGGGGCUAGCGUUGCUCGGAAUUACUGGGCGUAAAGGGAGCGUAGGCGGACAUUUAAGUCAGGGGUGAAAUCCCGGGGCUCAACCUCGGAAUUGCCUUUGAUACUGGGUGUCUUGAGUAUGAGAGAGGUGUGUGGAACUCCGAGUGUAGAGGUGAAAUUCGUAGAUAUUCGGAAGAACACCAGUGGCGAAGGCGACACACUGGCUCAUUACUGACGCUGAGGCUCGAAAGCGUGGGGAGCAAACAGGAUUAGAUACCCUGGUAGUCCACGCCGUAAACGAUGAUUGCUAGUUGUCGGGAUGCAUGCAUUUCGGUGACGCAGCUAACGCAUUAAGCAAUCCGCCUGGG
rnacentral:rRNA from 1 species